rnacentral:rRNA from 1 species
UACGAAGGGGGCUAGCGUUGUUCGGAUUUACUGGGCGUAAAGCGCACGUAGGCGGAUCGUUAAGUCAGGGGUGAAAUCCUGGGGCUCAACCCCAGAACUGCCUUUGAUACUGGCGAUCUCGAGUCCGGAAGAGGUGAGUGGAACUCCUAGUGUAGAGGUGGAAUUCGUAGAUAUUAGGAAGAACACCAGUGGCGAAGGCGGCUCACUGGUCCGGUACUGACGCUGAGGCGCGAAAGCGUGGGGAGCAAACAGG